rnacentral:rRNA from 1 species
CAGUCGCCGCGGUAAUACGAAGGGUGCAAGCGUUACUCGGAAUUACUGGGCGUAAAGCGUGCGUAGGUGGUGGUUUAAGUCCGUUGUGAAAGCCCUGGGCUCAACCUGGGAAUUGCAGUGGAUACUGGGUCACUAGAGUGUGGUAGAGGAUAGUGGAAUUUCCGGUGUAGCAGUGAAAUGCGUAGAGAUCGGAAGGAACAUCUGUGGCGAAGGCGACCAUCUGGGACAACACUGACGCUCAUGCACGAAAGCGUGGGGAGCAAACAGGAUUAGAUACCCCCGUAGUCCCUGUCUCUUAUAC